UACGUAGGGUGCAAGCGUUAAUCGGAAUUACUGGGCGUAAAGCGUGCGCAGGCGGUUUUGUAAGUCUGACGUGAAAUCCCCGGGCUCAACCUGGGAACUGCAUCUGUGACUGUAUAGCUAGAGUACGGUAGGAGGGGAUGGAAUUCCGCGGUGUAGCAAGUGAAAUGCGUAGAGAUGUGGAGGAACACCGAUGGCGAAGGCAGCCCCUGGUCAAGCACUGACGCUCGAUGCACGAAAGCGUGGGGAGCAAACAGG
rnacentral:rRNA from 1 species